CACCGCGGUUAUACGAGAGGCCCAAGUUGACAAACAACGGCGUAAAGAGUGGUUAGGGAAUUUAUUAAACUAGAGCCGAACGCCCUCAAAGCUGUUAUACGCACCCGAGAGUAUGAAACCCAAUUACGAAAGUAGCUCUACCUAUCCUGAACCCACGAAAGCUAAGGAA
rnacentral:rRNA from 1 species